AAACGUUGACACACAGUGGUAGUACAACAGGCUAGGAACUAACGACUUCCAACUGUAUUUGUGUGUUAUUGCAAAACAUUAAUUUAAAAAAAACGGCCAGUCGUUGCAGGAAGUUCCAUGAGUCACCCAGCGCCGCCCCCCGCCGCCCCCCGCCGCCCCGCCGCCCCGCCGCCCCGCGACCCCUUCAUUGUGCUGAUAUAUUCUACUGUUCGAUAGAUAGAAUCGAGUGAUAGAAUCAGUUAUCACUGUAAGUAAGUAGUUAAGAUGUUAGAAGUAGCGAAGGCUUGUAUCGCCGCGACUACGCGACUGCCGGAUGAGAUAAAUGUUUUACUUUCGCAGAGCUCCGUGUGCUCGUGAGCCCCUCCAGGGAGAAAAAACAAAGCUGUGAUAAUAAAUGUAUUAUAAAUAUGUGUAAUUGCGAAGGUGGAGGCGCGUUUCCGCCUGGAAGGGUCUAGGAGCAAAAGUCCAAGUGAGACUUGGAUCUCACCGGGGAACGUGGUAUUGGAGUUGUGAGGGCUCCAGAAACCUCUGAACAACGUGUGUGUUAAACAAAAAAAUGUAGUAGUUUAAAAUUAAAUAUAAAAAUUACAAAAUACAACACAAUUACACAACUACCAAAUGUUGUUUAUUUAUGAACUACUUAUUCAUUCAUUUCGGCCCUUUGAUACCCACAGCUGGGCAUAGGCUCCACGUUUUUGACAUAAUGUUUUUAUUAUUUUUAUUGUUAUUGUCAAUCAAUUUUAUUGUUAUUGUAUCAAUAAUUAAAUUAAUUAGAUUGUACUCAUCUACCCACUCAUGUAAAGCUUUCCUUCUUUAAGAACGGUUAGCUGGUAGAUAACUCAAUUGUUGAGUUAAGCUCGCCAUUUUUUAUAUCUUAUCACAAUUACUGUAUUAUAUUAACUGUGUGUACAAAUAAAGAAUAAAGAAUGUUCCAUCUCCCGCAACUCUCAUCCCCGUAUGACCGGCCGUCCUGCCUAUGUCACCGGGCCACCUUGCCGGAAGUCUUCCGGCACCUCUACGACCUAAUCUGGACCACCACUCUGACACUGUCCUAUUUAUUGCAUCUAUCAUCUAUUCGGCUUGCUAAGUGUCCAGCCCAACUUCAUUUCUGAACUGCAUGUAAUCUGGGUAUUUAUUUUCUGGAAAUAUUUAUUUGUCUAAUUGUAUUUUAUUAAAGACCUUAAAAAAAACUAUUUGAGGCCUCGGGAGACCAGAAGGCCGGUACGUAUUUUGCACAAAGAAUUAGCAUUGCUAUCCAACUUGGAAAUGCUGCCGGCCUUCUGGGAACGCUGCCAACUGACGGUGAGCUAACCCAGAUUUUUUAUUUAUAAGUAGCUUUACCUAAAUAAUAAUUAUUUUUAUUCAUUUAUUAGAUCUGUUCUGUCUUCUUCAGAAUCUUCUGUAUUCUGUACCGUAUGUUCCAUGGGGAGUGCUCUGAGGAAUUGUUCGAGAUGAUACCGGCAUCUCGUUUUUACCAUCGCACCGCCCGCCACCGGAGUAGAGUUCAUCCAUACUACCUGGAGCCACUGCGGUCAUCCACAGUGCGUUUCCAGAGAUCUUUUUUGCCACGUACCAUCCGGCUAUGGAAUGAGCUCCCCUCCACGGUGUUUCCCGAGCGCUAUGAUAUGUCCUUCUUCAAACGAGGCUUGUGGAGAGUAUUAAGCGGUAGGCAGCGGUUUGGCUCUGCCCCUGGCAUUGCUGAAGUCCUUGAGCGACGGUAACCACUCACCAUCAGGUGGGCCGUAUGCUCGUCAGCCUACAAGGGCAAUAAAAAAAAAAAAGAUAUAUUUUGUCUAAGCUAUUCAACUUAUCAGAGUGUAUAUUUGGAAACAAAUAAGUCAUCAUAAUAAUAUGAUCGUCGUGCAAAUGGACUCAAAACGAAAACAAUGAACACACACACACAGAGGACGAAUGAAACUCGGGGAAUUACCCGCCGCAUGUCGCUCUCCCCCACUGACCGAGCGCGCCAUACCGCCACACGUGCGUGCCCCACAUCUCAGUCUGUAUUGAGACUUCAUUUACGUAGAUAAUUAAUUACCUAUCAAGAUAAAAUAAGUAAAUUUCCCUGCGAUUUUUUGGCCGUCGACGCUGAAAAACUGAUCGGAUUAUACAGAUCCGAGCAGUAGGGCUGCCCCUCGUGCCAUUCGCAGUACUGUGUCGGCUGAACUGCAGUCCACAUGCUGACACGAUACAACGUUAAGGUCAGGCGCGCUGUGCCUGAUUAUGCCAUAAUUAUGUCGUCUAAACGGUAUCUGGAUCAAGAGAGGAUCCGUUAUCUGGAUCCGAUUUACGUUAGAAUGAUGGUGAUGGCCCAGUCCUGGAAGUCAAGUUUAAGAUCGAGCACCUCAAGGCACCGGAUAAGCUGCAGUUAAACCAUUAAAGAGAAAUCAUUUACCAUGAACUCAAUUUCUAUUCUGACUUGAACUCCGAGUGGAAUCUAAGUGAUUAUUGUAGAUAUAAAACAUUCUUGUACAACACAACGUUUUUGAGUAGCCUAUUCCUGUGCACGGGCUGCGCUGCCCGCAUCGGACGGGCCCGCGACCCCCAGCAGUGGGAGGGCUACGGUACGUGGCGUCUUCACACACGACCGCCACUCCAGCACCGCCAGCUGCUCUACAAGCGAAGCGCCCUGUCCGCUGCCACUUCUACUUCGCCUUAUUUAUGCAAUUCAUUGUUCACUAAAUAAUUUUUCAUUAUAUUUUCACUUGCUUGUAAGAAGAUAAACUCGAUAAGGUUUUAAAAUUUUUAGAUUAAUUUAAUAAAUUAUUUGUCAUUAAAAAA